UUUUUUUGUUGUUUAUUUUUCCUAUUAUUUAUUUUUGCAUUCCUUUUAAGAUUGUAAAUUCAAUUAGAGUAAAAGAUUUUCUAUACGGUUAAAUUUUUGUAUUAUAUACGUUGAGUGAGUUAUAGGAGUUGAUUUGAUUCUCCCCGUACCCUCUUACGUUAAUAGGGAGAGAAGGUUAGUUCUUAAAAAAGAAGUUGCUGCCAGUAUGAACUUGGAGGCUAUUUCCUCGAGGUAAAAUGUUACGGAAAAAUGGCUAAAAGAGGAAGAUAGAAACACCAAAUACUUCCAUAGUUUGGCCAAUUUUUGAAGGAAAAACAAUUAUGUGGAGGAGAUGUUCUUUGAUGGGGAACCAAUGAAGGGGAAUGCUAUAUGGAGGGAGAAAGCUAUGAGCUUCGUUAUGCAUCUAUAUAAAGAGGACGAGGAUAGAACACCCAGACUAGAUGAGUUGCCUUUCAAAUAACUGUUGGUUGACAGUAGGGUGAGCUUGGAGGCCCUUUUUACAGAAGAGGAGGUGAAGAGUAGUUUGGGGAAUUACAAUGGGGACAAGGCACCAGAACCCGACGACUUCAAUAUGAAGUUCUACUAAGAGUUUUGGAACAUCCUUAAGGAUGAUGUUAUGGCAGUUUUCCAUUAGUUUCAUAGAACAUGUGCUUUUGUGCGGUCCUUAAAUUCUACAUUCUUGGUGCUCAUUCCUAAGGUUGUUGGAGCCAAAAAUAUCAAAGACUUUAGGCUAAUAAGUCUUGUGGGUAGCUUGUACAAAUUGAUUUUUAAGGUAUUGACUACAAGAAUGUCCAAGGUCAUGGGGGAGGUUAUUGGGAAAAACCAAAAUGCUUUUGUUGAAAGUAGACAAAUUCUUGAUGCGGUUAUGGUUGAUGACCAAGGUAACCAAUUUUUCGAUUGUGUGGAGGGAGAGAAAUGAUAGGCUUUUGAAGGCGUUGAAAUUAACAUUGUAAAUAUUAGUAAUAAAUGAAUUAAUAUUUUUGAUUCUAUUUUGUUAGGUCAUGACAUUCUUGAUUGGGAAGAUAUUGGGCUAGUUGUUGACCACUUGAUUGAUCUGUAAUUAUUUUUGUAUACGAGCGAUACCCCUUUGGUACAUUUAUUUAUAAUAUCAAUGCUCUCUUUUAUCUUAAAAAAAGAGAUCCCCUUAUAUUGUAGUUAAUAGUGGUGCAAAUCGUGGUGGUUCAGCUGGCCCAUGCGAUGACUUACUAAUCAACAAGAGGGUGUGCUUUAAGGGCAGAGGUGGGAGUUCACACUUAAUCAAUGACUUUUUAACGUGAAAGGAAAAGUGCUGAUCAAAAUGCAAGUGGCAAAAUAUUGCAAGAAAUGCAAAGAGAAGAGUAAGGUAUAAUAUAGGAAAACAGAGACAAAUGGAAUGGAGGAAGAAGGAAGGAGGAAAAAAGAAGACAUGUUCUUUUAGUUGUUUUUCAAUAUUUUUGGAUGAUUUUAUCCUUAAUCACAUGUCAUAUCCUACUUUUCAACAUUUCCACUCAUGAAUCGCUGUUUACUAAAAAGGCCAAUUUGAUAUAGGGGUCAUGUUGCAAGUUCUAGAUUGCUACAGUUAGAAAUGUAGGGUGUAAUCUGAGACAAUUGUGAAACUAUAAGGGUGUUCUUAAUAUAUUACUCCUUUUCAUGAAAUUAAGAAUUCUUAAAUCGCACCUUCAUGGAAAUGACUUUUGAAUUUAGUUUGGUACGGUGUUUGAUAGCUUGUUUUUGGCAAAUUCAUGGUCUAAUAUUUGUUUUUUAAUGAAGAAUCAGAAACUUUGAUUGUUCUAGCAAUUCUUAUUCUUUUUUAUUUAAAUCUCAGUGACCAAAUGAUACUCUUGAAAUGGUCAAUUUGACUCUUAUUUAGAUUGUUGGGAGAAUAUAGUUAUGAUGCUGUUAAUCCGAAAUUCUUUAAGGUACUCAAUCCAUGGUUUGGAAAAGUGAGAGUUUACUUAAUGAAUGAAAACAAGAUUUUUAAGAAAGAAAAAGUGCUGUAGGACAAACCUCGUUAAAACUAACUUAUCCUAUGUGUAGUUUAAAAUAAAGUAAAUUUAGGUAGAAAACAGAAAAAUAAAGAUAGACUAGAGGAAAUUUGAGAUGAAAGUGAGAAACUAUAGAGAGAAUGUACAGAAAGACAAAGAAGAGUAAAACCAUGGCAAAUAAGUUAUUAACUGUUAUCUCUUAUUAUUUUUUAUAACCACUAGCCUCUAUAUGAGUAUUAGUUACAACUAACAAGGAAAAAUUACUAAAGAGGAAUUUCAAAAGCUUUUGUAAAUUAAAAUAUACCUAAAGUAACCUAAUUUUCUUAUAGCUUAAAAUCUGCCUAAUAAGAUAAGUAAAUCAAAGAUAAUAAACAUUAAUUACAAUCUUUUAAUAGAAAAUCUAUUCCAAAUUAUUUUUUUUGGUUUUCUAUAAUAUUUUCUCCCCUUUGUGAAAAUUUGACUUCGAGCUUGGAUUGAUGAAGCAUUAGCACUAACACAACAGGAACUCGCACUUCAAACCCUUGCAGUUUAAUCAUUUGAUUAUAGAUUCUAGAGGAACAUGAGGCAAAACAAAGUCACACUGAGAAACACCUUUCUUAACAUGAUCAGCAGGAACAGAUUUGCUAAGAGUUUGAUUCUUCUACUGUCAGUGGAGGUGGUUCAAAAGAAACUUUAUGGUUCCACUCUCUAAGUUAUGAGAAGCCUUUAUUGAAGAUUUUUUAAACCUUGUUUUAUGUUCUUGUGUAGUAUGCCGUAAUUAACCUUCAAAUAUAGGUUAAGUUCAUGCUCAAUACUCAUCCAACAACAGUUAGCAUAAAUGGACUGACCAGUUAAAGAAUUUUUGGUACAAAUAGCAUCUAUAAGGCAUUGAUAUUGGAUACAAGCUUGAUUGUGAAGAAUCAGUAGUUCUUCCCAUCCAUAUGGGUCAAAACUUGGUUCAGCACAUUGUAUAUAAUGGGGAAGAUUAUAUGAUGAAUUACAAAGAGAAGUUGAUUAGAUUCCAGGUCAAGUUGUUGCCUUUAAUGCUGAUAUGCUCUCAAAGUAACUUUGAGGUGUGGGUUUAACUAAAAUGACCUGAUAAAUGGGUAGAACACAUUGGGAAAGCUUAGGAUCUAUUCGCAAUCGCUACGGAAGGAGGUAAACUGGACUUGUUAAAUAAGUGUUGAACCAAUAAAAAAUGCCAAUGCCCACUUGCAGUUGGAGGCAUGUGAGCACCACACGUUGGUUUCCUAUAAAUAGUGAGGGUCAAUCUUAUGGCAGAGGGCUUGUAUGAUGAUGAUGAUUUAGGAUCAUUAGUCAUUUUUGUAUGUGGUGGCUGGAAAUGUGAUGAUCUGGCAAGAUAGCAGUGCUCCAAUCUCUACAUGGUGAGUGUCGUGUCUUCGGUGAACCUAACGACAAAAUUUAGUGGGUAAGCUGGUUGGGAUCAUCAGAAUCCAAUAACGUGGAUGGUGUUAUGACACCUACCAAUGGUGGCUAGUGAUGUGUGUUGCUGGCGAUGUAGCUGAUUUGUGACUUUUUGUUUUUCAAUUCUAUUUCUUAUUUUUUCCUAAUCUUUAGUUUUUUAUUCCAUAAAGGAUUUUUGAAGUAAUAGAGUUUAGGCAGAAGGUGGUGAUGACAGUUAUGCCAAUCCCAACUGAUGCAGGGCAAACCAGGUUGACAUUAAUUUAUCCUGAGAGUUAGUUUAAAAAUAGAGGAAAUUUAGGUGAGAAAUAAAAGAAAAAAGAUAAACUAUAGGAAAUUGUAGAUCAAGGAAAAUAAAUAUUGGGAGAAAUAAGUUGAACAUAAUAGAGUUGAUUAAACAAUAGCAAGAAGUAUGAACACAGAAGUUAACAGAGAAUGAAAAUCCUGUCAAAUAAAUUCUUAAAUUUGUUAACAUUUCUUCUUAUUUAUUGAUAGUUAGUAGCUUUGUAUAAGAAUUAUUUACAACUAACAAAAUAAAUCAUCAAAAUAAUUAAGGAGGAACUCAAGAACUUUUAUAACUUAAAAUCUACUUAAAUAACAUAAAGUUCUAAUAACUUAAAAUCUAGGUAAGGCUAAAUGAACCAAAGGUACAAAAUAAUAAUAAGUAUAAAAUGUUUUUUUAAUAUAAAUUUAUUUUUUACAUUAAGAUGAUCUUGUUCUGCAUCAAAAAGCAUGUUGCCUGAUUUCUCUUUAUUUUUUCUUUCUUCCCUGAUAGUGGCGUGGGGGUUAGUUUUGAAUCUAAUAUCCAUUUUUAAUUCUUCUUAAUCUUUUUUAGCUUUCCAGUCUCUGCUUCAGCUCAGCUACUAUGUUUUAAUCUAACAUGUUCUCUUUUUAUUAGAUAUAAUGGUGCUGAAGGGCUUCUCUCUUUUGGCUAAUUUCUGUUAGUGCUUGCUGGAAGCAGUAUAGUUUAAUUGCUUCUAUUAGUUUUUGAUUAUUGGUAGUGUAAAUAGAGUCCCAGGUACAACUCCAUUUCGGAUGGGACAUAGGUUGAUGUGAGUGUUGAUGGUUGCUGGAAGUCCUGUAGUUCAUAUGUUUCCAUAAGAGGAAAAGUCUUCCCAUCUUUCUAGAUCCUUCAUUUCUUACCUUCCUUUUGGUUCUACAACUUCCAAUGAUAGUAAGGCAUUUUAACAUUCAUAUUACAAACCCUCUCAAGGUUAUUUUACGUUGUUAGUUUUGACAACAGAUUCAAGGAGACUUGGUUCUGAGCUCAAGUUUCAUUGAAGGCCAGUUAAAUUACUCCUCUAUUUGAUAUUUAAAGCACACUUUUCCUUUUUUUUUUUGGCUCAUAGUUCUUUCUUUUACCUAGGUUUCAAAGACGCCGGUUUUUAAGUUGCAGUAUUACCUAUCUUGUAAGUUGAAGAUAUGAGGAAAUACCAAAAUGAGAUACCUAUAUUCUGGGUUAUGAUAAUACCUGGAAGCUGACUUUAGAGUUUCAAAGGAUAUUCAAGGGGUUUUGGACUGAAUUGCGCUCCAUAUAGUCAGAAGAAGUAAGGUUAGUUGAAUUUAGAAAAUUUCUUCUGGCUGCUGGUUGGAUUCUGAGUUGCCAUAAGAUUCUUAUUAACAAGAGUGAGAUGAAAGAGCAGUAAAAAAGGAUUUAGGUAAUGAGUUCACUGUUCGGGCGCACGAGCAACAAGUGGGAUAUGCUGCAGGCUUGAAUCGAGAGUUGUUAGUUUUCAACGUAAUUCAGUUAUUUUCUGCCACUGAAGUUCUUCAUAGACUAGUUGAAUUCAUAUAUUUUUAUAAAUAUUUUUGUGUUGGAUUGUUCAUCCACCAAUGGAGAAUAUGAAUCGGGUUUAAAUCA